CCUGCCUGGAAUUUGUCGGCUGUGACUUUAGUGUGGGGUUCUAUCAAUGUCAGCAAUGAAGCCAACCCAGCACCCUGAAGAUGGCUGACCGUCUAUACCCUGGAGUCAGGGUCCUGGGGCUCAUCCUCCAUGGAAAGACCAGCAUGAUAUCCUGAGCUUCUGGUGCUAAACAACAAAGGUCCUUUCAGCCUGGGCUCAGAGAGGCGGGGACUGAGACUCAGCGAGCUGUGGCUGACAGAAUGGUAAGAGAAGAAAGUCCGAGCAAGUGGGACCAGAGAGGAGGGAGCCUGCGAUCGAAGGAAGGCCUGGAGAAGUGAAGCAUCUAAACAGGGAGCCAUGGGGUGGCCUGCCGCUGAGGGGACUGCUCUGGAAGGGACCCCCUUGUUCCUUACAGCCUCACUGCUUCCUGCUGCUUCAGUGUGACCGACAAACCGGACAUCAGUUGUCCAGGCCAUCUCACCGAAUCCGAGAGUAGACGUCGGAUCCCUAGACUUAAGAUUCUUGCUUAGCCUGGUCACACAAGGUGGGUGAAGGUGACACAGAGAAGCAGAUGCAUCGUU